UGGAAUAGCUAGGAAUUUAAUUCCGUUUCGAAUAUUUCUUGAGUUUAUAUGUUAACACAUUUAAAGUUUGUCAACAUAUAUAAAAAUAUUUAAAAAAUUUGAGAUAAAAAGGAUCUUACAUAGAUAUAUCUAUCUAUUUAAAGAAAUAGACGUGCUACAAAUUUGUCCAUUUGCGUUCAGCAAUAAAAUGAGUUUAACGUGGCUACUUUAUAUAGUCACUUGAAUAGCAAUGUAGGACAUUAUUUAAUACGAUUGUCGGAGUUAAUGUGAUCGAGGCACGAAACGAUACAUAAAGUCUUCGUUUGAUUGGGACACAAAUAAUCGGACCUUUGAUACUCCUACAUGCUUUGCAUCACAAAAAUAACCGAGAUUAUAUAUAAUGCAUUAUUAAUUAAUGAGAAUUGCUUUUGCAAAAUGCUCCAUUGUUAUUAUAAAAGAAAAGCUUAGUAUAAGACUUAUCCGAAAGCAACAAAGAUUUUUCAACAUAUGAAGAAGAAAGAACCAUGUAAAACCAAGAGAAAAAAUCAAGAGACAGAAAAAUAUAAAUAGAAAGAAGAAAGAAAACCUUAUGGAUAAUCAUACGAGGAAAGUAUUAUGCCGAAAACAAUAAUGGGCUAAAGUUUUUAUCGUUAUGAAAAGAAAAAUUUAUUCUUCGUAAAGUGCAUCUUUGCUCGAUGACUCAUAAAAGCACAAUCGAGCUGACGUAAUACUGAAGUUAAACAUGAAAGCGCGCGAACCUUAAAAAAAACAUAACAGCUCGGACAAAAUAAAUAAAAAUAGAUAAAAUGUAUUAAACGUUAGAGUAAGUAUCACGUAAUAUACAAGGUCGAAAAAGAAAAUAAUUGUAUCAGCAUAUUCGACAGAGUCGACUCGUCCGUUCCUUAACGUAGUUGAGAAAGAAGAAAAAUUUUGCGAGAAAAACAAAGUUUCAUGGAGUUCAUCGCGUGUUAACGAUCCUCGAGGACUCACCUUAACCGACAUCUUGGACCGACACGAUCGCGCAAUCACCGCACUUUGUCACCUUAAUUAUUGAUUCACCAUCGGGGGUUGAACGUCGAGACAAACGAGUGAGCGAGAUAGAAAGAUAGAUAGGUAGGUAGAAUAAAUAGAUAAAUAGAGAGAGAGAGAGAGAGAGAGAGAGAAAGAGAGAGAGGGAGAGACAGGCAGACAGAGGGAUUUGAUCGAAGAACGCAAGAAACGAAUAAAGGAUAAAUAGGACGAGGAAAGGGUUCAGAAAUGAGGGUAAAGAAAGAUUACGUCUGAGAUGUUUGAUUUCUCGCUAUAGCUAUGGCAUCUUCUCUAUUUGCCAACGUGGCCGCGAAACCCGUGCGCGUCUCGCUUUUGAUGGUUGCUCGACGACAUGCAUGGGGGAUGCUUUUACAGCAGCAACACCAGCACCACCACCACUACUGUCGCUACUAAUAACAACGAAGCCGCCCUCUAUCGCGAUCUCUUUCUCUCUCUCUCUCUAUUCUUCUAUAUUGAUUUCUAGAAUGAUGCUAGUCACGCCGAAGCUGCCAUCUUUUACGAGGAGAAUGUCUACGUACAUCCGCGAACAUCAAUUUAUGAAGACGAUUACAUCCAACGAUUUACAUCUUCGUGACGUUCUUAUGAAAGUCACUCGAUUAAUCUGAUCGAUGAUAGUAGAGAGAAUAAGUUUAGGAUAAUUUGAUUACGUUGAAUUUUUUGAAAAAAGAAUGAUUUUUAAUGGAAUAAUAUUUUCUAGGUGGUAAUAGGAUAAAUAUGUGGUAAUAAAGAGGUCAAAGUGAAAUUCGACGUUGAAAAUCGAAAGAAUUCACGUUUACGCUAAUUAAAUUAUUUUCAAUGAUAUAUAUACAUAUAUCUCUCGCGAUAUCGUGAUAAAAUCUCUUGUGAAUCUUGUUCUUUACAUUUGGUAUUAUAAUUACUUGAGGUAUUACCGAGAUACAAUCAACGUCGAAAUUCUAUUGAAAAAAGGAUUCGAGAUCGAAGUAUAAUAAAUAAAUGUACAUAAUACAUAAAUGUAUUACACACACACACACACACGCGUAAUUCUUUUUUUCUUUUUUCUUUUUUUAUGUGAAUAAAUAUUUCGUGUUUUUAUUUCAUGAAGACGUCCUUCCAUGUUAGUUACAAUAUUUACUUCGUUUUGCUUUUGUUUCGUCUAUUUUCUUUUCAUUUCUUCGCACUUGUAGUAGACUUCUUCCGUGUGAUACAUCGCGCGACUUUUGUACAUUACGAUGAAGAUCAGAUCUAGAUUUGGUGUUCCUUUUUUUUGCUUUUUGUUUAUCCUUUUUAAAGCUAUCGUUAUAACACAUAGAUUAUGUACGCACAUAAAAUAUAGUGAUGCUGGAAAUCUUUAGGGAUCCUGACCAAAUACGAGGCGUCGUACGCGAUUACGCUAAUGCUUUUUUCGCGUGUUACCUCAGUGGACAGAUUCACUUUAAUAAAUUAGGAUCAAUUACAAAAAAUAGUGUAUGUAUAUUUCAUAUCUAUAUAUAGCACACGCGUAUGUAUGUAUAUAUAUAUAUAUAUAUAUGCACGCAUAUACGUAUAUACCUUUGCAUGCGCGAUUGUGUGUUUAUAUAUAUAUCUAUGUUUCUGUCCAUAUGCGUGUGUAUAUAUAUAUCAUAUUUUAUAUUCGGUUUUUUUUACAUUCUUAUCUAAACGAAUUUGACGCUAUUGGCACGUAUGUACGCUUAUCUUGGACCGCUAUUACGUUUGAGAACUUAGUUACAGACAGUGGUAUAGCGUUUUUUUCUUCUUGUUCCUUUUCCUCUCUACUUUUAUAUUUCUCUUACUUCCCUCUAUAAGUUCCAUUUCAAAUCUUCAUAAAAGAGAACAAAAUAUGGCGGAACGUGGCACUGUAGAAACAGAUUUUCUGCACGAUAUACACACCUAAUAGGUGUAUUCCCUGAUGAACGUAAUACUUAUUUUAUAAUAGCGUACCUCGUAUUGAUAUACAAUAUAUAUGUAUGUGUAUGUAUAUAUAAUAAAAUAAUCAAUUUUUAUAUUUCUUUCCUCAGCAAUAAUACAUAAUGAUCGUCGCGUUAACGUUACGCAAUCGUAUGUUUAUUGCGAUCUUAUAUCGAUUAGGAUAUCGUAAGGAUAUAUAAGCGAGUAAGAAAUAGAACGUGCGUUAUUUUAAUAUAAGAAAACGUACUGGGACCCGUACAAUCGAUCGAAUAAUAAUCGUCGUAUCUUCAUCUUUGUCCCGAUCAUAUUCUGUUCUUUCUUUCUACAUACUUACAUACAUACGUACGAUCGUUUCUUGUUGGAAGCUUUCGUCAAUAUUAACUUCGCGUAUCGUCGUUAUGCGUCGUAUUACGUAUAAUAACGCAAGCAAACUAGAAAUCCUUUCGCUAAAAUUACGGUUUAACGUUUAUAUAUUCUGAUAAUUGAUUGUUUACUGUGCUUUCGUUAGUCCUUAAUACUGAAAUUGCAAUAACGUGCAUUAUUGGUAAAGACUAAACUCUCUUAAGGAGCCCGAUUAGAAACGGACAUCGUCGUCGGAUGUUUGUCCAUCGUCGACGUCUACGAAUAUUAAUAUAAUAUAAUAUAUAUAUUAUAUUAUAUUGGUUCUUAUUAAAAAAUACGACAAGAUAGUCAUUGUAAAUUAUCCUAUGGAUUCAAAUAUUAUAUAAUAUUUAAAAUUUAUCUGUUUCGUAAAGUGUAACGAACUGUGCAACGAAGAAGAUUAGAAAAAUGACAUUUAUCACAUCGACAUAGAAUGUGAAAUAGACUAAAUAUAAGAUCGACAUCGUUUCUUCUUUCAUUUGUUUUCUUCACUUUGUGCGUAAAUCGAAUGAAUAAUCAUCAACUUGAAAAUGCGGAAGCUCCGCAUAAGCAAAAGGAACAUUUUGUGUAACGCAAAGAACUACCACCGCGAGCGGAAAUGUUCUGCCGAUUAUUUACAACGAAACUGUUCAUGAUCACAAUGAGUUUUAAGGGGAAUAAAAAUAAAAUAACGGUAUACUAUUAUACAAGUCGUGAAUGAGCUUAUACAAAACAUAUUGUACGUAGCUUAUUAAUUCGGACCGAUCUUAUACAUCACUAGAGGCAGUGGUCUCGUAUAUAUCGUAAAUCGUAAAGACAAAAUUUCGUAUUAGAAAGCCAGUAAAGUCACGACUGAAAUUUGUUACAUAUUUUAUCGGAAAAGAAACUAUAGCAAAAACGUGUUUUGAAUAUCACACGUUUAGUAUAUAUACAUAUAUAUGUAUAUAUCUAUACACAAUAUAUAUACAUACGUUUGCACGGGCACACUGGACUAGGUCCUAAGCACAAGGUAAAAUAUCUAUGUAAGAAUAAAUUUAUGUUCGAAAGUUGAAAAAGUUACGCUUACAACUUGUAAUACGUCGUCGGAAUCUUUGAAUGAGAAGAAAAGAUUGACUCAAUUGUAAAGUCGAAAAUAGAGAAUGAAAAAUGGAGAGGAGA